rnacentral:lncRNA from 1 species
UUUUUUUUUUUUUGGAGAAUGAGCUUUCUUGAUGGAAGACCCGUGUGUGUGUGUGUGUUUCAAUAACAACACAACUGUGCUUUCUCUAAAUGAUCUCUGGGACUAUAUUAUAUAGGGUGGAAAAAUGAAAGCAUUAUUCAUAUUUUUCUUUCAGUCAGGGUUGACUCAUGAAGAUAUCUGAAAAAUACCACAAACGUUUCAGGACCCCAUCCCCUUACACAUUCAGCUCCUCAUGCCCUUUUGUCUAAUGGGAUGGGACGGCUCUACAAAAGCCAGCCUCUCUUCGGGUCAUUAUAAGGCGUGAUCAAAAGGCCUAAUAAAUCUAUAGCUUGGUUGGGUGAGCCAAUGUGUGCCAGAGAAAAUGCCUCCUGGAUAGGUUGGGUCCUCAGUCAAUGUUGCCAAACUUCUGGUCCUCUCCAAUAUCUGGUAUGAUAGUUCCCUUGUGGGAAGACUGGAAAAAGCUGAAAGGCUGUUUGCUAUUUCACUUGCCUCUUACCAAUCCAAGGGAACAGUCAAAUGAGUGGUGAUUUUGGUCUGACAGAGGAGAGGCUCUAGGAAAGACAAAUGCCUAACUUACAGACUAGGGCAUUUGAAAGGGUUUCUAGAUUUCUAGAUUAAGUGCAGAUUUAAUGUGGUCAAAGAAUAUUUUCUUAAUUAGCGGAUUUUUGACUUGUAGCAAAAAACAAACAAACAAACAAACAAAAAAAAACCAAAAACAACAACAACAACAACAACCGAAAAAACAACCAGAAGAUAAAAAAAUGAAAGCCAAGACUGUACCUGGAAGGCCCAGCUUCAUGAGGAAGUCAGCUCCAAGAGGAGUGUUCCUCGUUGAGCUGCAAUGUGGGCUGACUUCUGGAGUAUACCCAGGGCCCUCCAACGAGGUUCUUUGUUGUUGCUGACAAUACAGUGCACUGUUCUCUGGGAUGAGCGUAGAAUAAUCCCAUGGGCACGACAGCCCGAGAAGCACCCCCUGUCCAAUGAUAAAGGCUAAACUUCAGAGAGUUUGCUCAUCCAAUAGCACUUCUCUAGACAUUUCAAGGCCUCUGGUCUUGGGCUUGUUGGAUCACAAAUUCGUGGUUGCCUCAGCAUAUUCUUGUGAACUGACAGAGAGAGAGAGAGAGAGAGAGAGAGUGUGUGUGUGUGUGUGUGUGUGUGUGUGUGUGUGUGUGUGUGUGUGUGUGUGUGUUCUAUAUAGCCCUGUCCUAGAAGAGAACAGCUAUACCUAUAACAGCUUCUGUCUCUGUGGUCCAAGAGAGGAAGGGCUUUCCUAAAACGCAAGUAACCUCUGAACACUACUGUAUUUGAAAUAAUAUAGUCUCCAUUGAUAUCCUGAGCAGGACCAGUCCAGAAAGGUUUCCAGUGGAUGUAAACCAACGCUCUCUGGGGAAAUUUGCUGCAAUGUGCUUCUGCAUAGUUGUUCUCAGUGGCCUUUGCUGCCUGGGGAUCAUCACAAAGACCUGUGGCUUCUCAACAAGAUGACACAGACUGGUGAAAACUCUUAAUGAUCUGCAGCAAUACGAUACACAUAUACACCUGCCACCGAGAACCAAAUGGUUCUUGUGAGUUUCCAUGGAUAUUUUUGUAACAGGGCCUUGGGUAAAUACCCACAUCUCACACUUACCAGCUAUAUUGCUUUUGGCAAGACACUUAAUGAUUCUGAACCUCAGCCUUCUCUUCUAGGACAGGGCUAUUAAUAACCAUCUUCCCAGGGCUCUUCUAUGUGUGAAAGCAGCUUGGAAACUCUCUCAGGAAUUUUAUUAUUUCACAGCUUAGAAAUCCACCCAUAGGUGUUAUCUACCCAGGGGCGGAUAGCAGCCUCUGGCUAUAGAGCUCUCAAAUUCUAAGCUGAGUUAUAAGAGACACAACCCCUGUCUUCCAAAGGCUAAUGGUUGCUAGCUAAACUGUAACCCUGGGCAACAGUGAGAGAAUUUAUACAUUUUUACAUAAAAUACAGCAUUACCCAAUCCCUUCACUUAAGGACAAUAUCGUUUUAUGCUGAAGAACAGAUCAGAAGGAAUGAGUUUUCAGUAGUACCACUGGAUUUUGCUUUUUAACUUUUCCUUGUAAAAGCUGGAGAUUCCACAGUGAUGUUUCCCAACAUUUUUAAGGUCAUUAUCAGUGGAUCAGAUAAAUGAAACCAACUGUUCAUGGGACAGUUACUAAGGGAGGGCAUGAAGCUAUAUGACAACUGUCAGAACAUUUUGUUUUCUAGAUAGAAAUACACGAACAAAAUUUAUACAAAUUCUAAUAUCUGACUGUCAGAAAUAUUUUUGACUCUUUUUAGUGGAUGUUUAAAUUUGAAGCAUUUGUACUCCUCAGCUAAAAAUGGAAGUUGUUUUUUAAAAGUAAUACAUCACUCAAAACAAAACAAGUACAGUGGAAGAAAAAACAAGAGGAGAGCCAGGGUUUUUGUUGUUUUGUUGGUUAGUUUUGAGAUUCAGGAGAGCAGAAAGUCAAAGACUGGCUCUGUUUUAAUGACAAAGGGGCUUCCUCACAGGGUGAUGAGCUCCUUGACACAAGCACUAUUCAAGCAAACUUCCUUUGUGCAGCAAGGAGUCUGUGAAGGAACACCAAGUGUGGCAGAUGGCUGGGAGCCUUAACUAUGUUCCUAGAAGAAUAAAAAAGUAUAGAGGCCCACUUGUUCCUUUUUGAGGGUUCAAAAGUCCAGCACAUUUGCUCUAAGAGAAAAGGAUACAGUGUGGUCCAGUAAGAAUGCAUUUGUCUCAACAAAGACCACAGGGUACUAUUUCCUAUCUAUACUGUAUGUGUUUGUUGUGUCUGACCAGUUCCCCUCUUCUGACUGUCACAAUGGUGAGAAGAGAUCAACAGUUGGUUUUCUUCAGUGCCUAUCGCCUCUCACUGAGCCUGAGUAUAUGAAAGCUUUCUCUGCUGUUAAGAUUCUCGAAUCCAUACACCAUGGCCAAGGCAUCUUUGCAGAAAGGAGCCGAUGCUGUCCUGGUGGGCCUUAACUAGUCUUCCUAUUACUUCCCAAUGCAGCCAGUAGUAAGUCAAUCAGGUGUCCUCACUUACAUGUCCUCCCCAAACCCCCACAGAGGCCUCAUUGCUAGGAAGAAGUAUGCACUAUUUGAUUUUACUGCACUCAGCCUGAGUCUCUCAGAGAGAUCCAACAAUAGCUGUUAAAACAAGAUCAGUUAAGGAACUAAGAUACUGAGGGGACAACACUUAAAUCAUAAACUCCUCUUCUUUUUGUUGUUUUGUUCUUUUGAGACAGGGUUUCUCUUGAUCUUGGCUGUCUUAAGGAGAGUAUAAAUUGAUCACGGAGAGAAGCUGCAUGCUUUAGACACAAAUAUUAGUAAUAAAUGGACGGGUUUAAAACCAAAAACUAAUAUUGAUGCAGAACUUCCUUAGUGUCAAGAACUUUUUUAUCUGUCCAUCACAGAAAUAGUCAAGUGUUUUCCUUGAGAAGACACUGCUAAAGAGAAAGAGACGUUAUGAGGCCAGGGACUCUUGUGGAUGGAAUAUGCCUCAGCUCACUUCCUUUCUUCUCAAUGAAUUGAUUCUAUUGCCAUCAAAACCAGCAGUGAAACACAUUAUUAUUUUUUUUAAAUCAGCCCAGAAGAUGAGGAGGGCUAAUUUUUCACAGUGGCUAACCCAUCUUUACCUAGCUCUAUCAUUAGGAGGGAGUCCUCUUCAAGGGAGGUCAUCAGUUGCUCUUGAAGGAUUCUCAUUCCUUUUCCUUUCAACCUGAAGCAAAGUGCUUUCACCUACCCUGACAGCCAGCCAGCUAUAGUUGGGUCAUAGAGUAGAUGCAAAGAGAAUUAGGAAAUGUUUAGGGAAGUAGAAGGUGAUGUCACUGGAAUCAAGGUCAAUAAAUACUAAGUGAAGUACUUGGUGGCAUCACACCCACGAAGGGAGAGAGUCUAGAAUUCAGAAGGUUUUAUGCAGUUCCCCAGCUAGCCUGGGUUGCCUUGAGAGUAUUCUACACUGGCCAUCAUAUUGAGUAAUAUGUGUUAUGGCCAUCAGUAAAUAAAGCAAUAGAGAAUGCAGAUCUUUGUAAGGACCAUAGCACUAUACAUCUAGGCACAGCAACUGAGUGUGUGUUCAACAAGACCUCCUAGCACUUGGGCUGAGCAUAAAAUGGUGACCUCUACACAUCUGAUAGAGCAUUCUGCUUCUAGGCCUGAACACUGAAUUUAGAAGUUAUGUUCAGGGAUAAGUUCAUGGAGUCUAUUGGUAGCUGUUUAACAGUAUCCUAGUGGAGCACAGAGGGUGACUAUCAGUCAGAUGAAGGAGGUUUAACUUGACCCUAAGUGAAUGGGUAUCUUAGAAAACUUAGCUCGGCCAUUCAUUCUAAGAAUUAAAAGAGAAUAUGAGUAUCUGUGGUAUGCUAAUUUUUAAUAAAUGCUAGAAGAUAAGAGAUACUUGUCAUCUUCCUUAGAUCCUGCUAUAAAACAAAUACCAAUCAGAAGCAAAGAACAAAGAUUUGAGCUUUUUUUUCAGUAGGAUGGAUAAAAAUAUGUUCUUUCCAAAGAUCUCAACAAUUAGUCAUAUGCAUGGUGGCUAACUAAAAUAUUGUCUAAAAAACUUUGCAUAAGGAAGAAAAAUUAAAACAGAAAAGUAAAUUAGUGUCUCUCUCUUCUUUACUAAGGGAAAAUAUGCCUACAAAACAAUGUACACUAGAAAACAUCCUAGUGCUGAGACUACCCUUCACCAGUACUGAGUCAGCUAUUCUCAUGUACUAUGGACCAUGGGCAAAGUGCUCCAAUGUCAGUUUCUCGUUGCCCCAAAGAAAAUUAUCAAGUUCAUUGCAGUGGGACAAAAUGAUGUUCUCUUAUUAAAAAAUAUUAACUAUUUUGUGGUGAAAGUGACAGAGUUAAAAACAGAACUCUGUCUAGCCUUAGAAAGACCACUUUGCAUCUAUGUGAGAAAUAUCCAGAUAAUUUUAUCGUACUACCCUAUCAGCUAAGUCCCUGAUGCAGACUCACUGAAAUGCAGCUGACAGACUACACCUCCCUCUAGGGAUAAACCAAGAUAAAGAGUAUGUCCCCAUAAAGCUGCUUUUCUGGCUGGUGAGUAUAAAAGUUCUGGUAGCCUUUCUCCUUUAAUGAGAUCAUAAUGUUGUAUCCUAACUAAACUUAAGAGAAGGCCAAGUAGGGCAGCAUUAGUAGGCACGGUGGAGAGAGAGGGAAAAGAGAAAAGAGGAGAAAGCAAGGGAGAGAGGGGAUAAGCACUGGCAUUGUCAGUAGCUUUGGCCAGGUUGGUUUGAAAAGGUCAGAAAUAAAGCAGUGCUAACCAACCUACAGCAUCACAAGCAGCCUCGUUCUAAUUAUCAGCCAAUUAAGUAACUUGUCCUGAAAUACUCAAUGUAAUACCUUGCUCAGAAAUCAAGAGUGCUUAUUACUAACUCAAACACAUAACACAAUGUCAAAAAUGUGAGUCCAGAGGGGCUGCUGCAGUCUCUGCCUUUAGCAUUCCACUAAAACUGUGGGAAGAGCAAAGCCCAAGGACUGCCCACAGAUCACCUUGGCCAUGAGCAUGCUUGCACUCGUUAGAGCCAUGAGGUCUUCUAAACAGCUACAUUAAGACAGAAGUGUGCUAGCAUGCUCUCUCUCUCUCUCUCUCUCUCUCUCUCUCUCUCUCUCUCUCUCUCCACACACACACACAUAUACACACACACACAUAUCUUUGAAAUUGGGGGUGUAGUAUUUCUAUUACUGAGCAAGAGUCAUGGUAGUGUAAACAAAUUAUUUAAAAAAUAAGGCACAGUUGUAGGCUGCUUUUGAUCGUCUCUCGUGAGAACGCACACCAGAAGAGCCAUCCCAGGACAUGCACUUGAGGCACAUUCUGCAGAGGUAUCUUUUUCGGUUGCUGGUUUUCUACAGAUGGCUGGAGCGGGGGUAUGGAACAUGCUGUCAUAUUUCAUUCAUAACACACAUGUACUGUAGCUGUAGGCAACAGAUGGACAAUCACUUGUUUAAUCUACAAAUGUGAAAUGCUAAGGUAGAAUGGCAAUAUUUCUAGAAAUGUAUAUGGGGAAAAAAAAAAA